UACAGAGGGGGCAAGCGUUAUUCGGAAUUAUUGGGCGUAAAGGGCGCGUAGGCGGCUUGGCAAGUGGAAGGUGAAAUCCCUCGGCUUAACCGAGGAACUGCCUGUCAGACUGGAUUGCUUGAGGCCGGGAGAGGCGAGUGGAAUUCCCAGUGUAGCGGUGAAAUGCGUAGAUAUUGGGAGGAACACCAGUGGCGAAGGCGGCUCGCUGGACCGGUUCUGACGCUGAGGCGCGAAAGCGUGGGGAGCAAACAGG
rnacentral:rRNA from 1 species